CCUACGGGAGGCAGCAGUGAGGAAUAUUGGUCAAUGGACGAGAGUCUGAACCAGCCAAGUAGCGUGAAGGAUGACUGCCCUAUGGGUUGUAAACUUCUUUUAUAUGGGAAUAAAAUGUUCCACGUGUGGGAUUUUGUAUGUACCAUAUGAAUAAGGAUCGGCUAACUCCGUGCCAGCAGCCGCGGUAAUACGGAGGAUCCGAGCGUUAUCCGGAUUUAUUGGGUUUAAAGGGAGCGUAGGUGGAUUGUUAAGUCAGUUGUGAAAGUUUGCGGCGCAACCGUAAAAUUGCAGUUGAAACUGGCAGUCGUGAGUACAGUAGAGGUGGGCGGAAUUCGUGGUGUAGCGGUGAAAUGCUUAGAUAUCACGAAGAACUCCGAUUGCGAAGGCAGCUCACUGGACUGCAACUGACACUGAGGCUCGAAAGUGUGGGUAUCAAACAGGAUUAGAUACCCCUGUAGUC
rnacentral:rRNA from 1 species